ACCUCUCCCAAUUGGAAUAGAAUAGUUCAAUUGGAAGGUACCUACAGAUAUCAUUUAGUCCAACUGUCUGACUACUUCAGGGCUAACCAAAAGUUAAAGCAUAUUUCUGAGGGCAUUA